AGGGGCGUCGACAAGUGGCUCAAGUCGCCAGGUUUUGAUCCUGGUAUUCGCAGGUUCGAAUCCUGCCGCCCCUGCCA
rnacentral:tRNA from 1 species